UGGAUCAUUUCUAAAAAUGAGGAUGACUCGUGAGAAGUAGUGGCAGCCAUUUUAAGAAGGAUAUCUUCUAUGUACUUGUAAGACUCAAAUGAACCUCCAAUCAUCAAAGAUUGGCUCAUGACGAGCACCCUUGUCACCACUUGAAACUCUCAUGCCAAGAUAGGGCGAACCCAAUUCAGCCAUGGCUUUCUCCUUUCUCUCAGUGUUCUCAUACUACUCAUUAUCAUCAUCAAUGAUACAAUCAGUGUCUUCGACGUCCAAAGGUGUGCAGUCAUUGAAGCUAUUGAUGGCUUCUUCACCCACUACAUCCUCAUCCAAACAGAGAUGGUUAGGGUAAGGAUUCCCUCUAUUUUCAUCCUCGUCUCUAUCAUCAUGAUUGUGCAUUGCAUGGAAUGGCACGAGACCAUAAUUUCCCGAGUCUUCUCUGCAUGAAGCAUAAUGAGACGCCUCAUCACGAAAUCCAUACCCAUAGGAAACGUUCUCAUAUAAGCAGAAUCCCAGAAACCCCAUGGAUCAGCUUCUUCAUUAUCAAACUGCCACCGCGUGUCACCAUUGAAGGCGCACCCUUGGCUGCUGAUUUUACAAUGCUUUUGGCAUCCUCUGAAAAGAAGAAGAAUUGGCUGAAUAAUUAUUAUUGAUGUUGAAGUGUGUAUUUAUACAAGGAGGUUUGAGAUAUUUCUCUACAAGUCAGGAAUCAGCUUACCAUAUUCUAGACUAUCCAUCUAUAAGUCAAGAAUUACAAUAGGAAAACUAACAUAUACAAAUCAUCUAUUCUUAAUAUGGAAGAUUUAGAAAGAUUGACUUUCCAACACUCCCCCUCAAGUUGGAGAGUGGAUAUCCUGCACUCCCAACUUGCGAAUCAUAGGAGCAAAAAACUCCUUUCCCAAUGGUUUAGUCAAAAUGUCUGCAAGUUGGUGCGCUGAGCUCACAUGUCUUGUAAUAAUGGAACCAUCUUGGAUCUUGUCCCUAAUAUAGUGACAAUCCAUCUCAAUGUGUCUAGUACGCUCAUGGAAAACAGGGUUGGCUGCAAUGUGCAAUGCUGCCUUGUUGUCACAAUACAGCAAGGCAGGUUCCUUAUGUAAAACACCCAAAUCUUUCAAAAGGUACCGAAGCCAUGUCAACUCACAACAAGCUCCUGUCAUUGCACGAUACUCUGCUUCGGCUGAAGAGAGUGACACUGUUUUCUGUCGCUUUGAUCUCCAAGAAAUCAGUGAAGGUCCAAGGAAUACACAGUAGCCUGUAGUGGACCUUCUAGUAAGUGGACAACCUGCCCAAUCAGAAUCACAAUAGGCUCUCAAUCUGAAAUCAUUAUUCGAAGAGAAGAACAGACCCUGACCAGGUGCAUUCUUGAGAUAACGUACAACUCUGAACGCUGCUUCCAUAUGAGUCUUUCUCGGUUGAUGCAUAAACCGGCUUAACACAUGAACUGCAUAAGUGAUAUCUGGCCUCGACACAGUUAGAUAUAUUAACCUUCCAACCAAUCUCUUAUAACGACCUUGAUCCUUGAGCAAAUCGCUCUUAUCAGACAAUUUCAAUCCUCGUUCCAUAGGUGUAUCAAUAGGGGCAGCGCCCAACAAUCCUGCAUCCUCAAUAAUCUCUAAUGCAUACUUACGUUGGGAAAUAAAAAUCCCAUUUUUAGAAGCAGAAACCUCAAUGCCAAGAAAGUAUUUUAAAUCGCCCAGAUCUUUGAGAUGAAAAUGACUAUGCAGAAAUUUUUUUGUUGUAGCAAUGCUCACAGGAUCAUUUCCAGUAAUCAGAAUAUCAUCAACAUAUAUCAAGAGGGCAGUAAAGGACUUGCCUUGUUUUUUGGUGAACAAAGAAUAAUCGGCUCGAGAUUGUGCAUAACCGGCGGAUUGAAUAGCUUCUGAGAACUUGGCGAACCACUGGCGAGAAGCUUGUUUCAGACCGUAGAGUGAUUUAUGAAGGCGACAUACCAAGUUUUCCUCCCUCUGUCGCCGAAGCCCUAGCGGCGGAGACAUAUAUAUUUCCUCAUGUAAGUCGCCAUGAAGAAAAGCGUUGUUAACAUCCAUUUGAUGAAUAGACCAGCCACGGGCUGUGGCCAAUGCAAGCAAGCAGCGGACAGAUAUGAUCUUGGCGGUGGGGGAAAAGGUAUCCUGAUAAUCGACACCUUCUAAUUGAGUAAAGCCUUUCGCUACCAAUCGUGCUUUGUAACGCUCAAUAGACCCAUCUGAACGGUGUUUAAUUUUAUACACCCAUCGACAGCCAAUCGGUGUCUUGCCAGCCGGAAGUGGAGUUAGAGACCAAGUGCCAUUAGCUUGGAGAGCUUGCAAUUCAGAACGCAUUGCCUUCUGCCACUCAGGAUGAGCGGCUGCUUCCGAAUAAGACCUGGGUUCUGUGACAGCACUAUGUUGAGCAACAAAAGAUCUAUAUGCAGGCUUAUAUCUGUGAUAAGAAACAUAAUUGGCCAGUGGAUAUCGUGUACCUUUAGUUGGACCUGGAAUCAAGGAAGACGAUUGAUUGGAGGAAACGUGGGAGCAAACAUAAUCGUGGAGCUUGAUUGGCGGGGCGAUAUGGCGGCUGGAGCGACGGAGCGGAGUGGCUGGUUUGGGUGAGUGUGUUUCUGGUGAAAAGAUGGGUGUCUCAGUUGGAGGAGCGGACGGGAUGGAUGCAAACGGUGGCCCCGGAGAAGGCGAUACUAGAGUUGUAGAAGGCGAUGGUGAAGGGUUUGGAUCAAUCUGAGAAGAAGGUUCGAUAAUGAGUUCGGAAGGUCGAGAAGGAGAGGAAAAGUCAUCAUUUUCUGUGGUGGGAGACGGUGUGCUUGUGUGGUUGGAAAGAAGAGGGGAAAGUGUGUGAGAAGUAGAGUCAAAGGAGGAAGAGAUGUCGUGGGCCACUAAGGGGAUUGGACCAGAAUUAUGGGUCAACGAAGGGAGAGUAGAGUUGGGCUUGAGAGAGACAUAAGGAAAAAUAUCUUCAUAAAAUUUGACAUCUCGGCUAGUAAAGACCUUUUUGGUUGAUAAAUCAAAUAAUUUGUAUGCUUUCUGACCAACAGGAUAACCGAUGAAGAUGGAUGGCAUGGCACGGUAAUCAAAUUUGUGAGAGGUGUGAACAUUGGUGGCAUAGGCUAAACAUCCGAAAACACGGAGAUGGGAGUAAGAAGGUGGUUUUGAGUAAAGCAAUUCAAAAGAGUUUUGAAAGACAAUAUUGGUGAAAGUAACCGAUUGAUGAUAUGUACGCAGUGAGAGCACACUCCCCCAAAAUUGAGUGGGAACUUGAGCAUGGAAUUUCAAAGCUCGGGCUACUUGUAAAAUUNUGACGAUGUUUGCGUUCCNNNNNNNNNNNNNNNNNNNNNNNNNNNNNNNNNNNNNNNNNNNNNNNNNNNNNNNNNNNNNNNNNNNNNNNNNNNNNNNNNNNNNNNNNNNNNNNNNNNNAUCGACAAUAGUGAGAAAGUAAUGGGCACCAAACAGAGAAGGGUGUCGAUAACGUCCCCAAAUGUCACAAUGAAUAAUCUCAAAAGGUUUUGUAGAAGAAAUAGCACUAGUACCAAAAGGUAAACGACUUUGCUUAGCCAAAGGACAUAUAGGGCAAGCAUUAUUGGACUGAACAGAAAAAUUCAAAAAAUUCUUGGCAAUGAAACUCAAACGAGAAGGUGAUACAUGGCCUAAGCGACUGUGCCAGAGAUCAGUGGAAGAGAUGGCGAGAUUGCAGGCUGGUUGGUUUGUGGAUGAGGAAUGGUUGGUUAAAGAUUUCUCCGUCGCUAGUGCCACCAAAUAGUAUAGUCCGUCACGUUGUUUACCCAAACCAAUCGUCCUCCUCGUAGCCAGAUCCUGCAAAAUACACAAAUAAGGGAAAAACGUCACUGAACAAUUUAGACCUCUUGUCAAACGACUAACUGAUAUUAAAUCAACUUUGAAUGUAGGCACAGAUAAGACAUCAUGCAGAUAAUAGACGGAAUUCAGAGGCAAAGUCCCUUUCGUAACGAUAUUCGCUUUUUCUCCACUAGGCAAUAAUACGGGCGGUAACGAGCAAUUUUUAUCUUUAUGCAAUAACUUAGAGGAUGAAGUAAUAUGAUCUGUCGCCCCACUAUCAAUAAUCCAAUUGCGGGAAGCGACUUUGGACAAACCUGGCUUUGUUACCGCAUUCACUUUGGAACUAGAGUUUUCAUCUUGGUUAUUAAGAAGUGACAAAAGUUGCUUGAGUUGGGCUUCUGACAAUGCAACUGCAGGUUUCCCUUCAUCUGCCUUAGAAACUUGGUUAGCCGCAGAAAAACUUUUAUUCCGAUUUGAGUUUGAGCCUAAGUUCAUUCUUGCUUUAGGAUGGUCUGGUAGGUAUCCAUGUAGUUGAAAACACUUUUGGACCCAAUGACCCAUAUCUCCACAAUACGAGCACUGGGGACGUCCUCUACCAGAACCCAUGCGGCGCCGAUCUUGAUCAAAAAAUGGUCUGCCAUCUUGUCCUUGAGAAGACCGAUUCUCCCGGAAAUUUUGAGAACCAGAGGGGCGAUUAGUCGGUUCCAUCCUUCUUGUGUUCGAUCGAUCUAUUCCGUCCUUCCAAGUUGUCGAAGACUUGCCGUUGCUGCGCACAGCCAUAGCAGCACUUGCGGCAGAUUCCGCUGCUGCGUUCGUCGAAGUGAGGAGGCGUUGCUUUUCUUCUUGAGAGAUAGAGGAGUAUGCUUGGCGGACAGAAGGAAGAGGAUUCAUCAGGAGGAUUUGCCCGCGAAUAGCACUGUAAGAUUCAUUCAAACCCAUCAGAAAUUGCAUCAAUUUUUGUUGAUCUUGUUGUGCCCCAUGUGCUGCAGCGUUGUAGGAAGCCAGUUCAUCCCACAGGCCUUUCAAUUUUGUGUAAUAGGCAGAGACAGAGAGUUGCUCUUGUCGAAGACAAGCAAUAUCUCGCUGAAUUUCAAAGAUGCGAGGCGCAUUGCUCUGAGAGAAUCGCUCACAGAGAUCUUCCCAAACUUCAUGAGCAGUAGAAUAAUAAAUUACACUGUCCGCAAUUUCUGGAUUGAGAGUAUUGACGAUCCAAGAGUGAACCAUGUCGUUACACCGUGACCAAGUCGCAUAACCUUCAGGAUCAAUUUCUUCUGAAGGAGCCUUGAUCGAGCCAUUAACAAAACCCAAUUUGUUCUUGGAGUUUAAAGCUAGAAUCAUAGCCCUUUUCCAAGCCGAAUAAUUGUCUCCAUUCAAAGAUUUGGAAAUCAAAACCAAACCUGGGUGAUCUGAAUGGUGAGUGAAAUAGGGAUUGGAGAGAUCUGCCUUUGAGAAAUUCGUAGGAAUUUCUGAUUUUGCCAUGAUGAUUGAAGAAAAGAGAUGCUACACGAGAGAGAUUAGAGUGCAGCAAUGAAUCAGGAUUUUAGUCCUGCUCUGAUACCAUGAAAAGAAGAAGAAUUGGCUGAAUAAUUAUUAUUGAUGUUGAAGUGUGUAUUUAUACAAGGAGGUUUGAGAUCUUUCUCUACAAGUCAGGAAUCAGCUUACCAUAUUCUAGACUAUCCAUCUAUAAGUCAAGAAUUACAAUAGGAAAACUAACAUAUACAAAUCAUCUAUUCUUAAUAUGGAAGAUUUAGAAAGAUUGACUUUCCAACAUCCUCUGCUCUUCGAUAGGAUUAUGGGACCUCAGGCAUGUGAGAAAAUGGGCAACAAAUGGGUAAUGCCAGGAAGGAGAGGUGGAUAUGAACAUGAAGGACAAGCGAUGUCAUGGAUGAAGUGUGGCAACGGGUGGAGAGAGAAAAGGUGGUGAGUAAAGCGGUGUGUUUGAAUGGGGUAUGAGACAUGAAUUUAAGAGUGAAGAUGUGAGUGUGUGGAGUGAAAGCAUGAGCGUGAGUGGUGAUGAGUUUGAAUGGGUUUGGGGUGGCGGUGUAGAGAGAGAA
rnacentral:lncRNA from 1 species